AGAGGAUGCCGGGCUCCUCCCUCCUCCUGAUGUUGUCGCUGUCGUCAUUGCCGCCAUGAGCCUCUACACCCUCUCCGGCGCUCGUCCCAGUCCAGGGUUAUCUACUCGGGGGCCAUGGACUGUUCUACGCGGCGCUUCCUUCGCCGCCGCCGCCGGGCGGUGAGGGCACUGGGUUGUGUCUCAUGUGUCGCUACCUGACUUCUGGUCUGGGGAGACAGGCUUCGUUGGCCAAUAGGGACGGGUAGGUCCGAGACUGGAGGUCCCCGUUCGCGAACUCGCAAUCCCGGUGGCUAUUCUACUACCAGUCGAAAAGGACUUCACGAAGGAGGAUAAGAAGGUGCCGAAAGGGAAUGGGAGCAACAAGUCUAAAUUGACGAUGGGAUUCAAAUUUGGAGCAAUACAACUUGCUCGGUUUCGCCGUGUGGAAGCCCACUUUUAAGGUCAUGAUCCCUACAAGAUCAAAAUGAUAGAAGGUCCGGCAUGCUGGCGCUAAUGCAGAGCGUGGCGCAGAUGGGCUAGGUCGUCAGCCCAUCGCCCUCAUCGCCUGCGCCUACAUCACCUACUACAUCACCGUCCUCGUCUCCGACUACUACCGCUCGCCGGAACCCAUCCACGGAAAACGGAGCUAUACUUGUACAUGGACGCCGUCCGCUCCUGCCUCGGUAACAAAUAAUCCUCAAAUAAACUUCUCCUGACAUGUAUGGAUGGACAUUGGCAGCAUGCAUGCAUGUCUGUUGUUAGGCAGAAUAAACGGGUCUCACAGUCUUGAUCAUGUCCAUGCAUGGCCUAGAGAUGUAGCUAUGUGUGGCACUACACAGUACACGGUUGUCUACGCAUCACAGAUGCCAUGGCCAUAAUGUCUGUGGUGCCCAGCAACUGCCGCCAUUAAAAGGGUCAUGAUGCAAACUACAGCCAUGAUGGGACGAUGUACCUGGUGAUGUUCGGCCUUGCCGAGGUCGUCCUCUCGUAGUUGCCGGGCUUGGAGAUCGGCCACCUUAGUCUCCAUCAUCGCCGCUGUCAUGUCCUUCACCUACUACUUCAUUGCGUUCUUCCUGAGUGCGCAACCUACGCGCAAGGAUAGGCCGGUGGUGGCGUAUAGCCACAUGCGUCGAUCGACAGCCAAACAAAGGAGCGGUGGGUGGUGACCUGUGCUUAAGGAGAGGCCGGCCAGCGGCGGCGGCGGCGGCGGAGGCCUACGCAGAUCGAUGGUGACAAGGGAAAAGGAGGCAAGGCCGUCGGCCGUGGCGGAGGAGGAGGGUCAGGUGGCGACCUGUGUGCCAUGGGGCGGCGACCCUCAAUGGCGUAGGAGCGUCGGCAGGCAGAGGCAGGAGGCAUGGGUCGCGGGGUAGUUGUUUUGAGCGAGCAUGAGAAACACAGCACACAAUUAAGGCGAUCUGAUUGCGAUAAGAUUCCUAUUUUCAUGGCUUGCAUGGUUGUAGGGAUUGCAUAGGUGGGACGGCAGAGUUUUCGUCCGCCCAGGGAAAUUGCUAAGGGCGGUUUUGGGUGAGGGUUAGUCUAAUCUUAACGGUUAGAUCAAAUUAAGUAAUCUGAUCAUGAGGUUGUAAUUGGUCCGUGGUGUUCUGUGUAGCUUAAG